rnacentral:tRNA from 1 species
GCUUUCAUAGCUCAAAUGGCUAGAGCACCCGCUUGGUAAGCGGGAGGUCAAAGUU